UUUUUACUGGUACUGUAUAUAUUAUUUUGCAUUCCCUCACUAAGCUAACUACCUUCACAACCAAGAGCACAUAGACGAACAGCCUUUGGAGUUCCCACUGGAGGAGUGGUUGCAGUGUUGCCAACUAAUUUUCAUGGAGAGCUGAGCACCUAUCAGAUCCUCUGCUGUCCUUCACCCCUUGGUGCAGUCUGCUGACCAUCGCUGGGGCCAGGAACAAGUCUGUCAACCGAAGUAGGAGCCAAGUGUAUCACCAUGCAACACUCUACCGAGGUUCCGGGUGAUCUCCCAUCUUCUUCAUAGUGGCCUCAGCUGGACUCCACUGGUCAGCUGGAAAUCCACCGCAUAACCUCUAGCCAGGUGAAUCAAGAGCUUCACCAGAGACGGAAGAGGAAGCGAGACAUCCUGGCCUUCCUACGUCACCGCCUUAUCUGCUUGUUGCCCUAGCACAGUGUUUCCCUACUCCAGUCCUCCAUCAGUAUACAUUUUUAUUGUAGCCCCAGACAAGCACAUCUGAUUCAACUUGUAAACUAAUCAUCAAGCCCUUGAGUUGAAUGAGGUGUGUUUGUCUGGGGGCUACAAUGAAAAUGUGUGCGGUUAGGGGUACUUGAAGACCGGAGUUGGUAAACAACGAGGAAGUUCUAUUAACCUGAGCCGCGGUGCACUGGUCUAUGACCCAUGGCGUGAAAGGGACAAAUCUGUGAGGGAGGAGUGCCCUUCUCAAAUCUAACAGUAAUUUGUGCCACUGUCAUGUUGUCGACAAGGCAGCAUGGUGAAUCUUUCAGAAACAUUUUUCCCUUAAAAUGUUAGAAUUUUCAAAAACUAGUUUAUUGUGAUUGCAGAUUAUGCCUUUAUCAAAAGCAAUCACUUUCACAUGUGAAAACACAGACCUACUCAUUACUCCACGUGCUUAGUCUAGCCUACAGUAGGCAAUCUCUUUUAACCCGCUGCAAACUGCUCCCAGUGGGGCAACCCGGGCCAGUAAUCGAAUCCCCGCUCACAUUUUAAGCCCUAACAGAGAUGCUCGACCCUAAACACGUGGACUGACUGCAGGUUAUAAAGAGGCAGAGGACAUGAACUGCAAGGCGAAAUACAGACCAUAGUUAAAGGGAUACUUUGGAAUGUGGCCCUUUAUCUACUUCCGCAGAGUCAGAUGAACUCAGCUGUCAUAGAUGUUCAAAUAAUCCAUAAUGUAAAAGGGAAUUUUAUUAUUUUCAACAUAUCAUUUAUUUAUUUCAAAAGUGACAGGUUUGCUGGGAUUGCGGCUGUGCAGAGACCACAGACAGUAGUAGCCUAAUGGAACAUAACAGGCUGCAUGGGAACGUGUUCAUGACUCAGCUUCUUGGUCGGCUACAAAUCAACCUGGCCAGGGAACAAUGGCAGCUUUUCAGUUGAUUUCAAUAUUUAAGAACUCUAAAUCAUCCAAAGGAAGAAAGAACAUGCCGAUAUCAUCUUGGAGGAAUCAAUUUAGUCCAAUAUAACGUAGACAUAGUCCAUUGCAAUGUGCACAAACCAUGUAUGGGAGAAGAAAAAAUAUCAUCUCAACAUUUCCUUCCCUCUUGACUUCCUCUUCCGGGAAUCGCCUAAGGAGAGGACAGACUGAAAUUAAUAGAUUGAAGGAAUAAAAAUGACAUACCAAUGACUUUAAAAUAGUAUGCCGAUAAUAUCCCGACAUUUGUAGUUACGAUUGCAUUUGAUGGAUCAGAAAGAGGCUUGGCAGGGGUGAGAAUGGACUUUUAUUAUGUUUCUUAUGCCAUUUCAUUUCCAAAAUAAUCAUAUAGUGCUACUGGUUGAAUCAAUCAUUAAAGCACUAAAUUAAUUUAAAUUAAAACAUCUUUCAGCAAAGACAGACUUACAAAACAACACAGUUUACAGGAAGCACAAAAAAAGUAAUUGUGUUAGUAGGUUAAAUAAUCCAUUUAGCUGUUUAUGUUGUUGUGAGGUUGGGCAGUUCAACAACAUAUGGGUACGGAGGUACAGGAAACAAAGACAAACUCCUUCAAAAAGACUACACACAGAGCAGAAAUGCUAAGCAAGUUCUUCCUACUGAGGUAUGACAUUGAAGUGUACUUGGAUAUAAAUGAUAAAUGUUCAACUGUGGCGUUUAUGAGGUGUCAGGUUGAUCUUAAGAUUUGUCAAGAUAUAAGAUUCAGGCUGACAAAAGGGCAUAAAGUAGCAGCCAAUAUGCCAGACAAAGUGCUUUAUCUAGGAUUAUUACAAUUUGUUUACCAGGGAUUUUAAAAAUGUUUACUGAAGAGGACAGUGUUAAUAGCAGGACAAAACAAUCUGAUUAAACCAGAUCCUGGUUAGACCGACGCACGUCUGUUAAUUGAAAUUAUGGCUUGGUGCUGAUGGGUUGAAUAAAAAUGUCCCUCUUGCAACA